rnacentral:miRNA from 1 species
UUUAGGAUAAGUUUGACUUUUG